UACGAAGGGUGCAAGCGUUACUCGGAAUUACUGGGAGUAAAGCGUGCGUAGGCGGUUUGUUAAGUCCGUUGUGAAAGCCCUGGGCUCAACCUGGGAAUUGCAGUGGAUACUGGCGAGCUAGAGUGCGGUAGAGGAUGGUGGAAUUCCCGGUGUAGCGGUGAAAUGCGUAGAGAUCGGGAGGAACACCCGUGGCGAAGGCGGCCAUCUGGACCAGCACUGACGCUGAGGCACGAAAGCGUGGGUAGCAAACAGG
rnacentral:rRNA from 1 species